rnacentral:rRNA from 1 species
GAUGAACGCUGGCGGCGUGCCUAAUACAUGCAAGUCGAGCGAACAGACGAGGAGUUUGUUCCUCUCACGUUAGCCGCGCACGGGAGAGUAACACGUGGAUCACCUCCUUAUAUGACUGGGAUAACUUCGGGAAACGGGAGCUAAUCCCGGAUAAUCUAUUGCACCGCAUGGUUCGAUAGUAAAUUACGGCUUUGCUGUCACGUCUAGAUGGAUCCGCGCCGCAUUGGCUAGUUGGUACGGUAACGGCUUACCAAGGCGAGUAUGCGUAGACGAACGGAGAGGGUGGUCGCCGACACGGGAACGUAGACACGGUCCAUAGGACUGAGGGAGGCAGCAGAAGGGAAUGUUCCGCAAUGGGCGGAAGCCUGACAGAACAACGCCAAGUGAGUGGUGAAAGUGUUGGGAGCGGAAAACUCGGUUAUUAGGGAAGAACAAAUGUGGAAGGAACUAUACACUGCUUGACGGUAACGGAUCAGAAAGCCACGGCUAACUACGUG